UUCUUAAUUUGAAACCAAAAUAUCAUUUUUUUUUUUUUGAGAAAUAGAUAGCAAGAUACCCGCUUCAUUCAAUAGGAUGAUGAACUAAGCUUACAGAAUGGAAGCAGCCAGGGCUUCCGAAGGGGAAAGAGUAAAACAAAGUAAACAAGAGAAAGGAAAGUAAACAGAAAAAAAGAAAAAAGAAAGAAAGAAAAAAACAACGGAAGUCAGGAGUCAGGGGCGUUCCAGUCAGCCAAAAGUUGCGAAAUUCGAUCCAAACAUCGGGUAGGAUUGGGGAGGGUCUCGCGAAAUAAGAAGCCAAUCCUCUCCGACCAAAUUACCCACCAGAUAGCUGAAAGGAGAGACAGAGAAGAAAGUCUCUUUUUGGUGUCAGAUAUGUCCAUCAAGUUUGACCAGAGAGCUCAAAGAUCAACCGAGAACUCGGUGAGGGACUCCAACCCGAUUACACUAUGAAGAAGGAAGCGAACGAAUACACAUGAAGCCAUUAGGUGGUCGCAGCUUUCCAAAUGAUGGCCACAGAAGACACAAGAUUGUGUCGGUAACCACCCAUGAUUGUGUAGUCUGUCAGCUGUGGGGAUUCUCUUCCGCAGGAGCAACCAUAGGAAGACUUUGAUCUUGA
rnacentral:lncRNA from 1 species